UUCGCGACCGGAUCCACCUCGCGGGUGACCACCAGGUAGUUGCGCAGCGCGAUCGCGUGCAGAUGCUC
rnacentral:sRNA from 1 species